GUUAAGAGAUUCAUUUCUGGGUCGUGCUACAACAAGUGAGAAACUAACGGCCGUUUGGCUGUCCAAUCGCGUGACUGUGGACAUUUGAAAGCAGACUUCCGCCCGCCUUUUCUACCGUUGGAAAUGCAAGAUGCGGCGACUUGACUUCAGACACCGAGAGAGGCUGGCGGCCCAGGUCUUGUGGCCACAUCUGUCCAAGCUCCUACUCUGAUUGAACAGUUGGAUGAUCAGACUGAUGAUGAAAAGUGCUACACAGUUCUCACACAU